GACGAACGCUGGCGGCGUGCUUAACACAUGCAAGUCGAUCGGUAAGGCCCUUCGGGGUACACGAGUGGCGAACGGGUGAGUAACACGUGGGUGAUCUGCCCUGCACUUCGGGAUAAGCUGGGAAACUGGGUCUAAUACCGGAUAGGACCACUGCCUGCAUGGGUGGUGGUGGAAAGCUUUUGCGGUGUGGGAUGGGCCCGCGGCCUAUCAGCUUGUUGGUGGGGUGAUGGCCUACCAAGGCGACGACGGGUAGCCGGCCUGAGAGGGUGACCGGCCACACUGGGACUGGUGUACGGCCCAGACUCCUACGGGAGGCAGCAGUGGGGAAUAUUGCACAAUGGGCGCAAGCCUGAUGCAGCGACGCCGCGUGAGGGAGGACGGCCUUCGGGUUGUAAACCUCUUUCAGCACCGACGAAGCGCAAGUGACGGUAGGUGCAGAAGAAGGACCGGCCAACUACGUGCCAGCCGCCGCCGUAA
rnacentral:rRNA from 1 species